rnacentral:rRNA from 1 species
UACGAAGGGGACUAGCGUUGUUCGGAAUCACUGGGCGUAAAGCGCACGUAGGCGGAUUUGUAAGUCAGGGGUGAAAUCCCGGGGCUCAACCUCGGAACUGCCUUUGAUACUGCGAAUCUUGAGUCCGAUAGAGGUGGGUGGAAUUCCUAGUGUAGAGGUGAAAUUCGUAGAUAUUAGGAAGAACACCAGUGGCGAAGGCGGCCCACUGGAUCGGUACUGACGCUGAGGUGUGAAAGCGUGGGGAGCAAACAGG